AAAAUGGACGUAGUUUGGAACACGUGUAGAGCAGCGAUGGAUAUAUAAACAACUUAAUUUGUAAAGCCCUGACAUAUGUAGAUUUGUGAAUUGAAAGGAAAAUCAUAAAAGGUCCUUUAAAGUUUUUACAAAGAAAAUCUGCAAAGAAAAAAAUCACUGUUGUUAAAUAAUAGUUUUUCAUUAAGUCAUUGUUGACAGAAAUAUUUAAACCCCUACUAUUAAUAUACAACAAAUAUUUUGGUAGUUUAAGUUUUAUUUUUGGACAUAUCUCAGAACUUUUAGAAAAGUGGGCACAAUUUGGGCAUUUUUACAUAGCUGUACACACUUUUGUUGCCAGUGGUUUAGACAUUAAGAUCUGUGAGUUAUUUCAAGGGCACAGCAAAUUUACAUUGUUAAACAAGCUGUACACUGACUACAUAAUUAAAGCAGCAUAUCUUCAGGAUUGUUGCAUGAAAAUAUAUAAUCAAACAUUUACAAAAAUGUGAGGGGUGUACUCACUUUGUGAGGUAUGCAGGAGCUAAUGCAAUAAUUUGAACCAGGUGUGCUGAAGGAGAGACACAUCUAAAACAUGAGGGAUAGUGGGUCCUGAGGGCCGGGGUUAGGAAACAGAGAGACUGAAUAGGAAUGGCCAAUAUCCUGUGUGCCCCAACCUUUUGAAACGUUAUAAGGGAAGACUGAAGUUUUUCCAUGGGCAAGUGUCAGUUGUACAAAGAAAACGUUUCUUACCAUAGGAUGCUUUUCUCGACUGAAUAACUUUACUUACAUUAAAGUUGGAUUUUUGGAGAGAACCAGCAGUUGCCACAACCCCAGUUUCUCCAGGCUCUAAAGGUCGUCCUGUUCUGCUUUUAAGCAGCUCAGAGCAUAAAAAAAUAUUUUUAAAUCUCAGGGUUUAACAUAUUCAUAUUACCCUGUAGCACAUUAUGUGAAUGUAUAAAGAAAGACAAGCAGAGCCGCUUGUGUUUUUUUUCUGCUGUACAAGGAGAGGACAUUUAUUGUAGAUUUCCAAACAUCACAGAUGUGCAUUACCAGACCGAGGUCGUCUUCUGACUGGUUCCAGUGAUUCGGGCGAGGUGAAAACAUACGCUCACAUGCAUGUCACGCACCUGUGCACACACCUGCACACUCAGACACACAGUCGCACACAUGUUCACAGUUUUGAUACAAAAAAUUGAAAUACAAAUAAUACCACAAUAAAAACAUUGUAUUUUUUCUAUAAAUUCUUACAGUAUUAGCUAUGUUCUCUAUUCUGUAGAAAGACAACUAAGCUUCGAUAAGUGAACAUUAUUUAUGUCCUCUAGAAUGAUCAGUAAGAUAUCAUCAUAAUGUAAAUUAUUACAGUAUAAAUAUCUUUUAAUCUAUUGUUUCUCAGACAGACUUUACCUCCUGAUCUUUUUUCACAGGUUGAUGAUUAAAUCUAACAUCCUGCACAUUUAAAAGGCCUCAGCUGGCCUGAAACUGCAUCUGCUCCACAUUUAUCACUUCCUUUGAGAUCUCUGAUCAACCAAAAGGAAAUAAAUGUAAAAGAUGAACCAGUUUUCUCUUACAAAUACCGGCAUUUACAGUCCUCAAAGGGUUGAUUCCACCCGUGAAAUCUACACAGCUGUCUGGUUUUUACAUACCUAAAGUAAUAAUAAAUGUCACCAUAAUUUAUAAUUGUGUACAUUCUUUACUGUUUUUUAACAAAAAAAAAGCAAAAUGCUAACAUUUUCAGGGUUUUGUCCAUCUUCUAUUGUAAAACCCACAAGUGUAUUGCCUCAAACCUGCAAUUCAUAACAAGUGAAGACGGUUAAACAUGUAUGUCUUCAUGCAAACUAAAUAAACAGCCAUGAAUUUAGUUCCUAGAAUUGUUCUGAAAAAUCUCCCAUACUAAAGGAACCACAGAUUAUGAGUUAAGAAGGUAUGAAAUAAGUAUCAUAGAACUGUUUUGUUUUUGUCUGCUUUGCCAAAAUCUGUCCUUAACAGCAGUGGGAGUAUUUACAGAAGUGGAGAACACGCAGAAGAGUUGUAACAGAACAAAAUGUGGUCUUAACGCAAGGCAGGAAAAAUAAAACCUUCCGGAAGUUGGCAACUAUUCUGCUGACGAGUUCUUCCAUUGAGAAAAGACGUGAAGAUGUAUGUUAUUGUGUUGCCGCUGCAGCAACGGUACAAUAUCUACAAUCUUCCUUCCCUGCACACUGCCUGUGAUGAUGUGUAAAAUCUCACAUUUCUCCAUCUGACAGUCAUUGCUUGUUUGAAGAAUUAUUCUCAUAAUCUGGGAGGAGACAGAUGUUUUAGCAGCAUCACUCAAAAUGAGUGUUCACACUGUGAGCAAGAACAUCUUGGAGGAGUCAGUUCAGCCCUGUAAAUUUCCUGCAUAUAGACCCACGCUUGUCGACCACAGCUAGACUGUUUCGUGUUGUUUCAUUUACCUCCUGCUGAUGUUUUAAAUGUAUUGCCUCAUGAAAUAAAGAAAAUUAUAAAAUGCAAUCUGCAAAAAGUUUGUAAAACAGUCAAGAAAACCACCACAAGUCAUACUGAGCUUGUUGCUUGAAGCAAACAGGAGGCUUAUUUUUAACUUUAUUUGGCAGCUAAUUGUCAGGUUUUUUAAAGUGUUCUGAGCAUGUUUUAAUAUAUACACAAAAACAUAUAAAAAUAAUUAAGUUAUUAGGAAAAAUAUGGCUCAAUAACGCAACAAUGCAGUGCUUUAAACUGUGCCAUGAGGGGACCUAACCACAAAGCUAUCAGAAAAUAACUGUUCACUCUUUAUUCAUUUCUUAAUUUUCUUUGGAAGUUAAAAUCAAAUUCUAGAAAUUAAUUUAAUGACCCUCAAGUUUCAAGUGGGUAAACAAGCAUUACAAGGUGAUAAUAUAUUACUUUUCAUUUAAUGCAAUCAAGAAGUGUAGUAAGAUGUUCUUGGACAGAGGUUGUACAGUACUUUCUGAUUGAAUAAUUAAGACAGACAGAAGUGCAAAUAAAAAGUUUAUUUCUGAGGUUAUUACACAUUUUUGUUUGCAUAGCCGUCACACUGAAUUUUAAUGUCUUAAUUAUUCUCCGGUUUAAAGCUGGGAAAUCAGCGUAACUUGCUAACUCAGUAGCCUGGCUAGCUAUUAUUAGCAUUACAGGUUGAUAAUGUCUUACAUCUCAUUUAAUGCAGUCACAAAUUGUAGGAAAUUAUUCAUCAACAAAAGAUGGACAGCACUAUGAUGGAGACAAACUGAGCGAAAAAUGAAUAAAAUGCUUAUUUCUAAGGCUGUCACCACUAUUAAUGUGAAAGGCAGCCAUAUUUAAUUAUGAAGUUGGAGAUAGCAAGCUAACGCAGGUUGUUUACUUUUACUAUCCUCUAAUUUCUUCAGAAGUCAAAUUUGUAUUGUGGUAAUUAAAUUAUUUAUUGUUCAGUUGUAAGUUGGGAAAUCAGUGUGAUUUGCUCCUUAUUGUGCUCUGUCAACAAGCUAGCUAUGACUAGCAUGCUAGUUAAUGUAUACUUCAUUUAAUGCGAUCAGACACUGUAGCAAGAUAUUCAUGCACAGGUGUUGUACAACACUACAGUUCCUUCUCAAAAAAUAU